CGGAAGACCUUACCAGGUCUGGACAAUCCCGUNGACCACUGUAGAGAUAUGGUUUUCCCUUCGGGGACAACGGUGACAAGGUGGUGCAUGGUUGUCGUCAAGCUCGUGUCGUGAGAUGUUGGGUUAAGUCCCGCAACGAGCGCAACCCUUGAUCUUAGUUGCCAUCAUUUAGUUGGGCACUCUAAGGUGACUGCCGGUGACAAACCGGAGGAAGGUGGGGAUGACGUCAAAUCAUCAUGCCCCUUAUGACCUGGGCUACACACGUGCUACAAUGGACGAUACAAACGGUUGCCAACUCGCGAGAGGGAGCUAAUCCGAUAAAGUCGUUCUCAGUUCGGAUUGUAGGCUGCAACUCGCCUACAUGAAGCCGGAAUCGCUAGUAAUCGCGGAUCAGCAUGCCGCGGUGAAUACGUUCCCGGGCCUUGUGCACACCGCCCGUCUACACCACGAGAGUUUGUAACACCCGAAGUCGGUGGGGUAACCUUUUGGAGCCAGCCGCCGAAGGUGGGAUAGAUGAUUGGGGUGAAGUCGUAACAAGUAGCUACAUCGGAGGGUGCGGCUGGAUCACCUCCUU
rnacentral:rRNA from 1 species